rnacentral:rRNA from 1 species
UACCAGCACCCCGAGUGGUCGGGACGAUUAUUGGGCCUAAAGGCAUCCGUAGCCGGUUUUACAAGUCCCCCGUUAAAUCCAGCUGCUUAACAGAUGGGCUGCGGAGGAUACUAUAAGACUAGGAGGCAGGAGAGGCAAGCGGUACUCAGUGGGUAGGGGUAAAAUCCGUUGAUCCAUUGAAGACCACCAGUGGCGAAGGCGGCUUGCCAGAAUGCGCUCGACGGUGAGGGAUGAAAGCUGGGGGAGGCAAACCGG